GUGUCAGCCGCCGCGGUAAGACGGAAGGUGCAAGCGUUGCUCGGAAUCACUGGGCGUAAAGGGUGCGUAGGCGGCUUGGUGGGUCUGGUGUGAAAGCCCCGGGCUCAGCCCGGGAAGGGCGCUAGAAACUGCCGAGCUCGAGUGCCGGAGGGGAGAGUGGAAUUCCUGGUGUAGCGGUGAAAUGCGUAGAUAUCAGGAGGAAUACCGGUGGCGAAAGCGACUCUCUGGACGGCAACUGACGCUGAGGCACGAAAGCGUGGGGAGCAAACAGGAUUAGAAACCCUCGUAGUCC
rnacentral:rRNA from 1 species